AUUGAACGCUGGCGGCAGGCCUAACACAUGCGAGUCGAGCGGAUGAAGGGAGCUUGCUCCUGGAUUCAGCGGCGGACGGGUGAGUAAUGCCUAGGAAUCUGCCUGGUAGUGGGGGCUAACGUCCGGAAACGGGCGCUGAUACCGCAUACGUCCUCAGGGAGAAAGUGGGGGAUCUUCGGACCUCACGCUAUCCGAUGGGCCUAGGUCGGAUUAGCUAGUUGGUGGGGUAAAGGCCUACCAAGGCGACGAUGCGUAACUGGUCUGAGAGGAGGAUCAGUCACACUGGAAGUGAGACACGGUCCAGACUCCUACGGGAGGGAGCAGUGGGGAAUAUGUGACGAUGGGCGAAAGCCUGACCCAGCCAGGCCGCGCGUGUGAAGAAGGGCUUCGGAUGGUAAAGCACUCUAUGUUGGGAGGAAGGGCAGUAAGUUAAUACCUUGCUGUUUUGACGUUACCAACAGAAUAAGCACCGGCUAACUUCGUG
rnacentral:rRNA from 1 species